rnacentral:lncRNA from 1 species
UGUAAAUAUAUAUAUAUAUAUAUAUAUAUAUAUAUACAGACUCCAAGUUUCUGACUUUACAAACUCUCCACAUCUGAAAGUUAUGUUUCCCACAAACAACUGCUCUUCUGAAAGAUCUCAGUGUUAACAACUGAUGGAUUUCACACAAAUUUCUCAUUUAUCUUUCAAUUUAUUCAAUAAUUUCCUUUCAUUUUCAUGUAAGUGUCAUUCAUAUAUAAUUGCAAUUUCUAAUUAGUAUUUUAUACCGUCAUUUGUUAUACAAUUAAUCAUUUUAGUUUUCUUUCUUUCUUUCUGAAUUGAUAAUUGCAUUUUCAUGGAAAUGGUUUUUAUUUAACCAUUUAUUACAAAGAAAACAAACAAAACAAAAACAUUUUAUAAAAAAUGAGAAAGCUUUUAAUUUUUCCACACUUCACUCUACUGUUUUAUAUGCUUGCGAAAAAGUUUUUGAAAAAAAUGGAUUUAAUAAUAAAAUAUUUUAUUUAA